GAUGAACGCUGGCGGCGUGCCUAACACAUGCAAGUCGAGCGAUCUUCUUCGGAAGAGAGCGGCGGACGGGUGAGUAACGCGUGGGUAACCUGCCUCAUACACAUGGAUAACAUACUGAAAGUUAUGCUAAUACAAGAUGAUAUAAGAGAUUCGCAUGGAUUUCUUAUCAAAGCUUUUGCGGUAUGAGAUGGACCCGCGUCUGAUUAGCUAGUUGGUAAGGUAAUGGCUUACCAAGGCGACGAUCAGUAGCCGACCUGAGAGGGUGAUCGGCCACAUUGGAACUGAGACACGGUCCAAACUCCUACGGGAGGCAGCAGUGGGGAAUAUUGCACAAUGGGCGAAAGCCUGAUGCAGCAACGCCGCGUGAGCGAUGAAGGCCUUCGGGUCGUAAGGCUCUGUCCUCAAGGAAGAUAAUGACGGUACUUGAGGAGGAAGCCCCGGCUAACUACGUGCCAGCAGCCGCAGUAAAAC
rnacentral:rRNA from 1 species